GGUGUCAUCUAGUGUUUAACUUAAGUUAAACUUGAUUCUAUUUCAUUCAAUAACUAUGGCUUUUCUCAUUCGCAGUGUUGAUUUUGUGUUUCAGGUCUCAUCAGUUAGGGCAGAUGUCAAAAUAGAAUCUGGAGUACCUGUUACAGAUCCGUCACUCACGCCAGGCCUGACCAUGCCGUUCUAUGGGACUGGUGUUCAGUCAACAAAUAUUGUAGAUACCAGUAGUUUUGUUCCACCAAUCAGAGAACAUAGGUUUCCUAAUGCUGUUUGGCAACAAACUUCAGUGCCAGCUCCUGAUCCAAGUAAUCCAGGUGGCUGGACACCUCAAGGGCAGUUCAUCCAACAGUUACCUCCUCCUCCAACGCUGGAUUACCAUCCAACUCAAUAUUCUUAUCACCAAAGUUCACCAGGGUAUCAACAAACAGCUCAAGGCACGUUUAUGCAAACACCAAAUGGGAGCUAUACCUCCUCUCAACCAUCCCCUUUAGUUAAUGGUGGCGUAACACCAACUGUUAAUUCAAAUCAACAGCUGAAUGGCUCAACAAUGGAAUAUGUUGAUGCAUCACCUAGACCAUCUGAAUUUGUCAAUGGGACUUACAGUCAUUCAAAUCAAGAUGUCACAAUGAUACCUCCUUCAACAACACCAAACAGCAGGUGCAGUUCUGUUCAUGCGGAAAGCAACGGAGAUGCUGUUAACAAUAUCCCUAGCUCUGUAGUCAAAACACCAACAAGCAACAGCUUCUCUUCUGGGCAGGGAAACGCAAUGCCUGGGUACCCACAUCAACUACCUCCCCAAUCUCAGCAGAGUUCACACAACUCUAAUGGGUACCCAGGCGGUGAAAUAAAUUCUGGGGAACAGUCAGCUGAACAAGAGUCUCUUAAACUGAUGAAAUCAGAAAGGCUCAGUCCUUUCUCCCCGCAGUCAUCUUGGGCAAAUGCUCGAUCUCAAAAUUUUUCGGGAAAUAGGAAUGAGCGAAAUAAUUCAGAAAAUCUUCCUAACAAUGAUGUAAAUAUUUCCUCAUAUCAGCAGCAGUCUGAACAGCCAAGCCAUGCAAGUAGUCAUGUAAACAACCGGCUAAAAAACAUGAUUUUAAAUAAACAACAACAAAACAACCAACAGCAGCAGCAAAACUUAAAUUUACAGUACCAGCAACAGCAACAGCAACAUCAUCAGCAACAACAACAACAGCAGCAACAGCAACAACAACAACAACAACAACAACAACAACAACAACAACAACAACAACAACACAACAACAACACAACAACAACAACAACAGCAACAGCAGCAUCAACAGCAGCUACAACACCAACACCAACAACAACAACAGCAACAACAGCAGCAGCUACAACAACAGCACCAACAACAGCAACAGCUUCAACGACAACAUCAACAGCAAAUGGCUGA
rnacentral:lncRNA from 1 species